CUUUUUAAAAGUGAUCAAUUGCAUUAGCAAAUUUCUUAUUAGCUCUGCUGUCAGGAGGGAGCUCCUGCCAUAUUAGCUUGCUGAGGCUGAUGCAGAAUUUCCCAGCUGUUAAUUACCAUGCCAAGGGCUAAAGGGACUCAGAGGCUGACAGCUUGAGAGUCUCCUCCCUGAAGGUGACAUCACAUCUCCUGCUUAGAUCAUCUCUUGGUGACUAUCCAAAGAACUGCAUAUUCAGGAUACCCAACCCGAUUUCCACCGGCCCAGGCUCAGACAAGGAAUUGCUUAAAACUCACAUGCAUCAGGGAGCAAAAUGAGAGAAGGCAGAUUUUGAUUUCUUGUUGUACCUAGUGCCGCAAACUAAAAAAACCAUUCAGAGGGUGUCUGAUUCCUUUGAGAAUCUGACAGAA